rnacentral:rRNA from 1 species
UACAGAGGUCUCAAGCGUUGUUCGGAUUCAUUGGGCGUAAAGGGUGCGUAGGUGGCGCUGCAAGUCGGGUGUGAAAUUUCGGAGCUUAACUCCGAAACUGCAUUCGAUACUGCGGUGCUUGAGGACUGGAGAGGAGACUGGAAUUCAUGGUGUAGCAGUGAAAUGCGUAGAGAUCAUGAGGAAGACCAGUGGCGAAGGCGGGGUCUCUGGACAGUUCCUGACACUGAGGCACGAAGGCCAGGGGAGCAAACGGG